GGGGUUGUGGCUGAGUGGUAAAGCAUUUGCCUAGCAUGUGUGAGGCCCUGGGUUCGAGUCUCAGCACCA
rnacentral:tRNA from 1 species